GGGUGCAAGCGUUGUCCGUAAUUAUUGGGCGUAAAGAGCUCGUAGGCGGUUUGUCGCGUCUGCUGUGAAAACCCGAGGCUCAACCUCGGGCCUGCAGUGGGUACGGGCAGACUAGAGUGCGGUAGGGGAGAAUGGAAUUCCUGGUGUAGCGGUGGAAUGCGCAGAUAUCAGGAGGAACACCGAUGGCGAAGGCAGUUCUCUGGGCCGUUACUGACGCUGAGGAGCGAAAGCGUGGGGAGCGAACAGGAUUAGAUACCCUGGUAGUCAAGGGCG
rnacentral:rRNA from 1 species